UUCAAACAGCUGGCUUUGCCAAUAAAUGCCUCUUUCCUAUUAAUUUUAACACACUUAACUUUAUGCAUGUGAGCAGUCAGUUCUGUGCAAAAUGUUAAUCUCUCACAUCAGCAUUUUCAGAAUUGAAGCCAGAGCUUGUUAUUUCCGGGAACUCAAACAGGUUUCCUUACAGGGGCUAUGUGUACACUAGGGGGGCUUUACUGGUAUAGUAUAGGUAUAAUAUACCAGCAGAGUGCUCCUGGUCUGGGAACAACUGCACUGGCAAAGCUGCCAACUUUGCCAGCAAAGUUUAUAAAGUUCAUCAAAUGUAUAGGAAAGUUUAUUAAAUUCAGUAGAACCUGAAAGCACAUAUGGAGUUUCAAAAGUCCACAGCAAACAGCUCCAAGGUUUUGCUGCUGACAUAAUCAGAAAUAGUCCUAUGGUUGAGGUCUAAUUGAAGACCAUUGAAUAUAAUAAAUGUAAUGUUUUUUGAGUAAGUGUUUUUGAGAAAUUACAGGAAGUUGAACACUUUUUGAAGUCCUGUAUUUCAGAAGUGUUUUGUCAUAAUUUCUGUAAAUUCUCUUGUGGCUAUACUUGCAAAACUUGACUUUGCUUUCCAAAUUUCCAAUAGAAUAGUCUGUUUUUUGAGGAAGUUAAGUGGGCAAAAUGGGGCUUAUAACAAAAGCUCAUUACAGUUUUAGGGCCUGAUCAUGAUAACUCUUACUUAUACGAGUAGUCCUUACUCAUGAUAAUAGUUCCAUGGUCUUCAGUGGGACUACUUAUGUGGGUAAGGGGGUUACUCAGAUGAAUAAUUAUUUACAUGAUCUGGUCCUUAAUUGUGGAGUCUCUAUCUUGUCUCUCUAGUUUUUGCAACUCCUUUGUGGGGUAGGUUAGUAACAAGUUUCUGAUCUUAUGCAGGGAAACUUAUUGAAUUAUGGAGAGAAAAGAUUUGUUUUAAUGUUACAACAAUAAGCACAAAAGAGCUAAUUGUUACUUUUUCUUCUUGGAAAGUAGGUACAUCCAAAGGGUCCAAUCCUAGAAACACUAAGGCACUCCUGUAGCUGCUCAUAUGAGUAAUCUUAGCAUUAGAAUAUCUCACAUGGGUGUUGAUGUCAUGUAUCACCCUAUAUAUUCAGUAGCAUUAUUUUCACCUGGACAUGAAUAGUUCAUCUUGCUUUGAUUGUGCCUUAUUUUAACAUUAAUGGAGAGGAUGGGCUAAUUCUGCAAAGAAGCAGAUGUCUUGAAAUCAAUCCAGACAGAGAAGGGAAAUUGAAAUUAGGGGACUGUCAGCAAGUAUUCAGAAGUGAAACUGAAACUCUACCUAAAUCAUGUGUAGCUUGAUAUCCGUCAAGCCCCAAGCAGCAUGACAGCAGCUUGCUAUAUUGAAAACGGUGUGAAAUAGAGUGCUACAAAGCUAGGGCCUGACCCUGAAAACCCUUAACCACAUGCACAACUUUUCUCAUGUGACUAGCCCCAUUGUACUGAGAAUUAUUAUUGUAUUAAUGUCAGAGACCAUUGAACAGCCCUUGCAUGAUUUUUAGUUGCUAAUGGGAGAUUGGUUUGAAAACAGUUAGCUAGAAAUAAAAAGCUCUGUUAUUCCAUUAUCCAUCUCCUGAGUCACCAUUCAGACUAAUAGUAAAUGAUAAUAUGAAACUUUUGCACUUCAGUGAAUGGUGACAUGCUUUCCCCUUGGCUGAUCACUGUGAUGCAGCAUUGAAAAUGGCAAGAUAUUGUCAGUACUUGCAACAGAAAUCAGUGGAAUGCCAAAUAGUUAAAUUAGAAGGCUGAGUGGUGCAACUUCUGAGUCUUCAGUUGAACUAAUCACAUGAGCAAAGAAAAAGUCUGUUUUUAUCAUUUAAUAACGAAAGGAACAGUUAUUUUGUGGCUUUACUUUUUCAUCUGCAGGAUACUUGGCAUGUUUCCUGAGCAAAUGUUGUUUACCGAAUUAUCAGAUUGAGACUGUGCCAUCAACCCAUAGGGCAUCAACAAGCAUAACUGAAUAUCUGGGGCUUUCAUAUUAGCCUAAGGAAUAAGAGAGGGAGAGUGACCAACCUGAAAACUCUGGAUCAUAUUGGAAAAGUAGUCAUAUUAAAAUAAACUCUAGGACACAUAGUAUGCAAAAUAUAAUUUAUUAUUAACUUACACAGACAAAUUAUAUUUAUUUUUUUACAUGUCAUUGCUCCUGGGGGCAUUCUGUGCCAAAAAUUUAAAAAUUCUGUGCACAAUAUUUUAAAAUUCUGCACAAUUCUGCAAAUUUUAUUUGUCAAAAUAACACUCCAAGUUAAUAACGCCAAUACCAAUUAUUUUGGUAAUUUAUUUCAAAAUACCUGUCAGCAAAUAUAUCUGUAACAUGCACAAAAAUUCCCCCAGGAGUAGAGAGUUAAAGAAACCCAGUUCCUGUUUCUCUGUCCCCUUUGGCCUCCCCCUCCAGAUCCUAGCCGGGGGGCCAGACACCCACAACCCCUCGCCCCCAAGCCUACCUAUGGGGGCCCCCCCACAGCCAAUACAUCCAAACCCCUUCCUCCCCAGAGUCCAGCAGCAAGGCCCCCUCAGCCCAGAUAGCCCGGUCCCCUCCCAGAGCCCAGCUGUGGGGACCCCCCGUCUCCAAACACACUUCCUCUCUCAGAGCCCAGGGGUCCAGAGGGAGAAACAGCCUGAUGCUUGGUCCCAGGCUUGCACAGAGUUUCCUGCAUGUUGCCCUCUCUUUCCCUCAGGGAAUGCUGGGAACUGCAGCUUCCAGGAACCCUCUAGCUCCCUCUCCCUGCCCCCAAGCAGUGUCUUCUAUGUGCAAGCUGGUCUCUGCUGAGUCCAGUGGUUCCUAGUGGCAGCUAGCAGCACUAGAGUCCAUUUUUGUGGGGGAAAGGAAAUUCUGUGUGCAAAACAUUAAUUUCUGCAAAAUUCUGCAUUGCGCAGAAUUCCCCUAGGAGCAGCAUGUUAAGAUCCUGCCUUUUAAAACAUUUGUUUUUGUUCAUUUCUGUUUAACCUAAAAUAAAAGAUGUUUAGCCCAAUUUGUUCUUCUGCCAAAGAGCAAAACACAGUAGUAGAGUUAUAAAACAGGAUCUAGGAAUUGUUUAGAAUUUGAAAUUCAGAGAGACAUUUGGACUUUUAUAUUUAUCUGUCUCUUCAACAACAUUCCCUGAACAAGUAGAUUUAAAAAAAUUCAAAUAGAACUUUGUACAUAUUACAUAAAAACACUGCAGAAUAUAUAUUAAUAUUAAAGUCAUCUUUAAAAGUUAGUGGAUUGAGUGUCCAGGCCAAUUCAGUGGUGAGUUUAGAGAGUGGCUUUGUUGGCAUAAUUUACCUGGGCUUCCCCCAACGUGUACAUUACAUCCGCUUAGAUUCCCUUACCACUUAAGACCUUUUACCAACAGGUAAUUUGCACCCAUUCUAAUAUGUCAUCUCUGAAUAUGGUCCACUAUGUAUAAGGAAGACUACUUUGAUGUAACUCAUAAGCUGAGGGGCCAGAAGAGAGGAGUAUAGCAAGUAAAGUAAUCGUAAAGAGAUGUGAGACCCUCCCCUCUUUCUGUUCCUAUCUUCUGGCUCCUGAGUGAGCAAGUUGCAUCAAUUUAGGUAUUGUCUACACUCAGGAAUAAUGCUUAUUCAGCAGUUGGUGUACCUGCACCAAUGUUGACCCUUAAGUGUAGACAAGAGGAAGCUGGGGUUUGCAUUAGUUAAGCUAGUCAGGAUUUAACCUUGCUUGAGCUAAUCAGAGUUUACCCAUACUUCAGUGGGUGCAAACUUUGGCAUGCCCUUAUCUACACCUAGGGUUCAGCUUGGUUACAGCUACACCAAUUGCUGAAUUAGUGCUAUUUCUCUGUAGGCAAGUCUUAGACUAGCUCCUUGUUAGUUGCUUUAAAAAAGGUGAAUUAUGCCUGAACAGGGUGAAGCCAGAGGAGGAUUAUAGUGGUCCUCAUAGGCAAAAUCAGUCAUUCCAUUUGGGAAUAGGGGCAAAAGACUAACCAAACCAUCUGGUAGUUUUCUCUCUGAAGUUUCACUCAAGAUUACUCAUGUUUGUCCGUGACUGCACCUUACAAUUCAUAGGUGAUGCAUAAGGUGGUAUAAGUUUGAGGAGUGCGAUUUGUACCACCUUAAACAUCAUUUCUGAAUUUAGUCCUUUGCUGAAGAGUACUAAUCAAUGUUUCAGUGAUUGCCAGACUGAUAACCAUUAGCGCAUUGACAGUAAGCAUUGGAGAAGUCCUCGCUCAAUUUUUGAAGAUAGUAUUACAGAUGUGUUAUGAAGAAAGCCAGAAAUGUAAGCUCUCCAGCACUUUCUGAUGUUUGAACAUAGUUGAGAAAUCGAAUGCAAAAGCAGAAUUUUCAAAGAAGAUGCAAUGGAUGCUCCUACAGAAUGUGUCUGUGCAAAAGUGCCUGUUUGCUAAAGUAGUUGAGGGUUUUUGUGAAGAUGAAGUAUCGGACUGGGAGUCAAGAAAUCAAGUUUAUAGUCCUGUCUCUGAUACUUGACUGACUUUCUGACCUCUACCAAGUCACUUAUCCUCUGUAUAACUGAGUUUAUUCCUCUGUUGAUUGGAACUAAAUGUAUACCUCAUAUGGAUUAUUAAUUAAACUUUGUAAAGCUCUUGGAUGAUGUAAAGUGUCAUAAAUCCUAUGUAAUCUUAUUCAGCCCUUCUAAAAGGUCUGUAUUACUUAUAAACCCGGGUUGCAGAGUCGUAGGGCAUCACACUUGUGUACCAUAGAGUUGCUGGUACUGAACUAAAGCCAUGUACUUCAGAGUUCCUUGACUCCACGAGGUACACAAAUGAAGUGAGAUUGUUAGAUCUAAAAUAUCUGCAGUAUUAGUAUCUCUGUCACUCUAUCUUUAUUUAAAGCUUUUAUUUAAAUAUCUAUCAAAAGGACUUCAUCAAAAUGUUCCCAUGUUAUAAACAAUGUACAAAGGCUGCAUGGGCUGGCAGAACUGUAUUUUCUUCCAUUCCCUGCAGUAAUGUAUAUGACUUUAAAUUAGAUAAAUCCGUAUGUUUUAAUAUCUGUUUUUAAAUGGAAACUUAGCUUUGUAUUUCCAGACUUUUUAAUGAGCCUUUCCUUUUGAAAAAUGUUAAUGUUCUUUUACGGCUAACCUUAAUUGCAUCUUUUUGCCUGAGAAUUCAAUAUCCUUUGAUACCAGUCUGUUAACCAGAGUAUUCAUUUCUAAAAUUCGCCUAUAAAAAUAGAUUUUGGGUCAUCCAUAAUUGCUUCAUGUAGCUUGGUGGGGUUUUAUGCUCCUUUAUGUAGUAGAAGUAUAAUGCAGGACUGCAGCAAGCCCGGUGUUGGCACAGAGAGAAACUGGCCUGCAGGGGAAUUCAAGGGAUGUGAUGAAAUGAAAGGUGGAGCUAGCGAUUAGCAGCUGUCAGAACAUCAAGGGUCAAUUUCACCAGCCUGGAUUAAAAAUAAAAUAAAAUAAAAUGCACUUCCAAUUUAGUCUUGUAACAAUAACCAUUAUGUAAUAUGGAAUUUGGUUGUAUGUGUGACCUCCAGGAAAUGUGAUAAGGUUUCCCCCAAGAUUUUAGGAAUGAAUCGGGCAAGUGAAAGUCAUCAGAUGACCUGAGUGUUUUCAUUAAAUGUGAAAGAAGUCUGGACACUUUUAAAAAGCUUUAAUUGUUUGUGCUGGUAUUAUUUUAGACUUGGCCUGUGUUAAACUGGGAGAGGCUUUCAUGUGAGGGAAUGCACGACGAUAGAAAGUAAGGCUGCUGGGAUUACCGUUUAGUGUACCUGCUGUGCUGCCCAUUUUCAAAGCUUUUAUAGCCUCUCUUAAAUCAGGUUCAGGAUAGAGUAAGUUGUGAAAUUCACUUUGUAGACUUCAGUGAAAAUGACAUGUCCGUCUCAGAGCAUUUUUUUAAACUGUUUAGUGUUACUUGAUGAAUACUGCAAAGAUUACUGUAGAAUAUAUCUUAAAUGAUAUAUACCAAAACCAAUUUUAGAGAGACACAAGGUGGAUGAGGUAAUAUAAAAAAGGUAAUAAAGAAAGCCCAAAAGCUUGUCUCUCUCACCAGUAGAAGUUGGUCCAAUAAGACAGUGGUUCUCAACCGAGGGUACGUGAAUCCCUUGGGGCACACAGAGGUAGGUCUUCCAGGGGGUACAUCAACUUAUCUAGAUAGUUGCCUAGUUUUAUAACAGGCUACAUAAAAAGCACUAGCAAAGUCAGUACCAACUAAAAUUUCAUACAGACAAUGACUUGUUUAUACUGCUCUAUAUACUAUACACUGAAAUGUAAGUACAAUAUUUAUAUUCCAGUUGAUUUAUAAUUAGAUGGUAAAAAUGAAAAAGUAAGUAAUUUUUCAGUAACAGUGUGCUGUGACACUUUUGUAUUUAUGUCUGAUUUUGUAAGCAAGUAGUUUUUAAGAGAGGUGAAACUUUGGGGUAUGUAAAACAAAUCAGACUCUUGAAAGGGGUACAGUAGUCUGGAAAGGUUGAGAGCCACUGCAAUAAGUGGUAUGACCUCACCCACCUUGUCUCUCUAAUAUCCUGGGACUAACACAGCUAUAAUAAUACUGCAUAAAAUCAGUUUUGACAUUUAUUUAAACAGCCCUGUAAACACAUUAUGCUUACCUCUUAAUUACCUCGUUUGUUAGGGUUAUAAAGGCACUAUAUAUUUGUGUGAAUCUGUAAUGUAGUCAUAUUCUUAAAUGCUGUGCUGGAUGAACAGUUGUCUAGUUUAUCUAUUGCUAAUACACCCACCUUUACUGGGUGAGCAGUUUUGUCUACCUGCCUCCAUCUUGGUACAGUGUCUAGGUGCAGUAUAAUUAAUUGAAAGGCAUAAUUUCUAAUCAAAAGACCUUGCACACUCUCACUAACUUGUUUUUUGCUCAUAUAAAAGAAACUCCUUGGGGCAGAGAUUAUAAAAACUAUACUUGUAUAUUGUGGCAAAUAAUCCAUCUUCCUUUAGGAUUUAAGAAGAGACCUCUUACAUCUUUGGUUUGGUUUUUACUUAUAUUCUCCAUUUUUUUUUAACCAACUAUGGGUCUUAGAUCUUAAGAGAAAAGACACAUUUUAAUUCUUAGUUUUCCUGGAAACAACAAAGCUGCUUUGAUAUUUCUCUUUAAGAAAGCCCAUUAACUUAGCAACAACAUUAUCUUUUUCACUGAA